UGCCAGCCGCCGCGGUAAUACGAAGGGUGCGAGCGUUGUUCGGAUUUAUUGGGCGUAAAGCGCGCGCAGGCGGAUUAAUAAGUCAGGUGUGAAAUCUCGGAGCUUAACUCCGAAACUGCGCCUGAAACUGUUUAUCUAGAAUCUCGGAGAGGAAAGCGGAAUUUCGCAUGUAGGAGUAAAAUCCGUAGAGAUGCGAAGGAACACCUGAGGCGAAGGCGGCUUUCUGGACGAGUAUUGACGCUGAGGCGCGAAAGCGUGGGGAGCAAACAGGAUUAGAUA
rnacentral:rRNA from 1 species